CUGAGCUGCAGAGAGCUGAGGGCUGACGGGAGCACCGUGCAGAGCAGAGCACGGGCAGCGCUCCAGGCACGGAGCUGGGCACAGCAAGCAGGGCGAGGAGCAGCUCCCCCAGCUGGAAAAUCUCCUCUUUCCUUCCUGCAGGCACGCGGGAAGAGGGUCAGGCCCCACGCUGCAGCCACCUGCAUCACGAGCUCACGGGCACAGUGAUGGCUGCCCUUCAUCCCAUGUGCUCAGCCCCGCGCCUCCGCGGGCAGCGGGAGGAAAGGGUUAAGGAGCUGCCAGCGGGGAUGAGGCGAGGGAAUUCAGCUGCUGACGCAGGUGUCCUCUUUCGAACUGACAAAGGGAAAGCUGUGCCAGUUCGUGAACCGCUGCUCCACGAGCAAGGUAAGAGAAAGAAAAUCACCACCAUUACAAUCAUUACUGCGAAUCAUGUGCAAUCAGCCCGCUAACAGAAAGCAGACGAUCAUCCUGCAGGCAGCUCCAGCACGGGAGUUGGUGCUGAGCUGCAGGAGCCGCGAACCACACCACGGUUAAAGCGCUCCUAACGAUGCUAUUUAGUGUCGCUUUCACCUUUUUUCUCCCAACCGCUUCUCCUCCCGGGGCAGAUCCUACAGCCGUGCGAAGGAGAUUCGCUCGCGCCUUUCCGAGCACACGCGCGUUGUAUCCCCGCUGCCCGCCCCGUCCCGCUGCCGUCGGUGGGUACGGAGCGGUCCCGGUGCCGUAACGCAGCGCUCGGGGCGGCCCCGCGGCCUCCGCUCGUUUCUCCGUUCUCCCGAACCGAGGGGAAAUCGCACCAAAUCGCGCUCGCGUUUGGUGUUAUUGCGAGCAUUAGCGGUUUGUGCUCGGCUCGUCUCCUCUGGCAACAGGAGAAGCUUGAAAUGUCAAAGGGGAGGGUUAACAAACUCCGCCGGCAUAAAUUGCAAUGCGUGUUCCUUAGGAAAGCCGCUAAGUUAAAAAAAAAUAAAAAAAAUAAAAAAUUAAACCUUCCUGUCUGCGCUUUCUUUCGGCUGCUGUUCACAAUGGAUAAUAAUUCUUACAUUAAGCCCCUUCGGCCCUCCAGGGAAAUCAAAAUUGUAAUAUCAGUUUGCUUUUUAUUGGCUCGGCUCUACGAUCUCG
ensembl:lncRNA